rnacentral:ncRNA from 1 species
AUUAAUGAUUUAAGUCCUUCUUAAAUGAGGCCAUUUACUCCAUAGAGGAUGCCAGGCCCGUAUAACGUUAAUGAUUGCUAGAUGAUGUUUCCAAAGAGUCGUGUUGCUUGAUAGUGCAGCACUAAGUGGGUGGUAAACUCCAUCUAAAACUAAAUAUAACCAUGAGACCGAUAGUAAACAAGUACCGUGAGGGAAAGUUGAAAAGAACUCUGAAUAGAGAGUUAAACAGUACGUGAAACUGCUUAGAGGUUAAGCCCGAUGAACCUGAAUAUCCGUUAUGGAAAAUUCAUCAUUAAAAUUGUAAUAUUUAAAUAAUAUUAUUAAGAAUAAUGUGCAUUUUUUCCAUAUAAGGACAUUGUAAUCUAUUAGCAUAUCCCAAAUUUAUCAUAAAAUAUAACUUAUAGUUUAUUCCAAUUAAAUUGCUUGCAUUUUAACACAGAAUAAAUGUUAUUAAUUUGAUAAAGUGCUGAUAGAUUUAUAUUAUUACAGAGCGUUAAUUUUUCGGAAUUAUAUAAUGGCAUAAUUAUCAUUGAUUUUUGUGUUUAUUAUAUGCUCUUGUAUGAUUAACAAUGCGAAAGAUUCAGGAUACCUUCGGGACCCGUCUUGAAACACGGACCAAGGAGUCUAACAUAUGUGCAAGUUAUUGGGAUGUAAACCUAAUAGCGUAAUUAACUUGACUAAUAAUGGGAUUAGUUUUUUAGCUAUUUAUAGCUAAUUAACACAAUCCCGGGGCGUUCUAUAUAGUUAUGUAUAAUGUAUAUUUAUAUUAUUUAUGCCUCUAACUGGAACGUACCUUGAGCAUAUAUGCUGUGACCCGAAAGAUGGUGAACUAUACUUGAUCAGGUUGAAGUCAGGGGAAACCCUGAUGGAAGACCGAAACAGUUCUGACGUGCAAAUCGAUUGUCAGAAUUGAGUAUAGGGGCGAAAGACCAAUCGAACCAUCUAGUAGCUGGUUCCUUCCGAAGUUUCCCUCAGGAUAGCUGGUGCAUUUUAAUAUUAUAUAAAAUAAUCUUAUCUGGUAAAGCGAAUGAUUAGAGGCCUUAGGGUCGAAACGAUCUUAACCUAUUCUCAAACUUUAAAUGGGUAAGAACCUUAACUUUCUUGAUAUGAAGUUCAAGGUUAUGAUAUAAUGUGCCCAGUGGGCCACUUUUGGUAAGCAGAACUGGCGCUGUGGGAUGAACCAAACGUAAUGUUACGGUGCCCAAAUUAACAACUCAUGCAGAUACCAUGAAAGGCGUUGGUUGCUUAAAACAGCAGGACGGUGAUCAUGGAAGUCGAAAUCCGCUAAGGAGUGUGUAACAACUCACCUCCGAAGCAACUAGCCCUUAAAAUGGAUGGCGCUUAAGUUGUAUACCUAUACAUUACCGCU